UACGUAGGGGGCUAGCGUUGUCCGGAAUCAUUGGGCGGAAAGAGCGUGUAGGCGGCCCGGUAAGUCCGCUGUAAAAGUCAAAGGCUCAACCUUUGAAUGUCAGUGGAUACUGCCGGGCUAGAGUCCGGAAGAGGCGAGUGGAACUCCUGGUGUAGCGGUGGAAUGCGCAGAUAUCAGGAAGAACACCAACGGCGAAGGCAGCUCGCUGGGACGGUACUGACGCUGAGACGCGAAAGCGUGGGGAGCGAACAGG
rnacentral:rRNA from 1 species